AUUGAACGCUGGCGGCAGGCUUAACACAUGCAAGUCGAGCGGGGUGAUGGUGCUUGCACUAUCACUUAGCGGCGGACGGGUGAGUAAUGCUUAGGAAUCUGCCUAUUAGUGGGGGACAACAUCUCGAAAGGGAUGCUAAUACCGCAUACGUCCUACGGGAGAAAGCAGGGGAUCACUUGUGACCUUGCGCUAAUAGAUGAGCCUAAGUCGGAUUAGCUAGUUGGUGGGGUAAAGGCCUACCAAGGCGACGAUCUGUAGCGGGUCGGAGAGGAUGAUCCGCCAGACUGGGACUGAGAAACGGCCGAGACUCCUACGGGAGGAAGCAGUGGGGAAUAUUGGACAAUGGGGGGACCCCUGAUCUAGCCAUGCCGGGUGUGUGAAGAAGGCCUUAUGGUUGUAAAGCACUUUAAGCGAGGAGGAGGCUCUUUUGGUUAAUACCCAAGAUGAGUGGACGUUACUCGCAGAAUAAGCACCGGCUAACUCUGUGCCAGCAGCCGCCGUAA
rnacentral:rRNA from 1 species